rnacentral:rRNA from 1 species
AUGUACAUUCCUACAACGUUAAUGCACUAGAUCCCAUUAGAUCUAAGUAGUUAAGUGUGCUUGGGAUAGAGUAGUACUGGAAUGGGUGACCUCCCAGGAAGUCCUAGUGUUUUACAUG